AACAGCUAGAGAAAAGACAUAGUAUCUACCACUACUGAUGAGUUCUUUGAUGUGCCUGGUAAGAGAUACAGCACAGAGUAAACAACAGCCUCCCCACCUGCUGAAAUGUUCCUUCCCGGCUCUUCUUGUCUUUUGGGUCUGAGUUCAAAUGCUACUUCCAUAGAGGUGCCUAUUCCGACCACUUUUCCUCUCUACAGCAUCAAGCAUGCAGACAAAUGUUUUGCAGGCUAAGUAAAAUAGUUCAAGCUAAGGAACCGACGAUAACAUCUUUGUAAUCAAGAAAACAGAUAUAUACAUCUCCAGCCAGAUUUCUUCAGCUGUGACUUCCAACAGAAGCUCAGUGACAAACUGCUUACCACCUAGGAACCGGAUGAUGCCCUCUAAAGGUUGAAUAUGAAAAGGCUUGUUCAAUAAACAUUCAAUAUUCAAUAUU